rfam:TPA: Bos taurus chromosome 15, whole genome shotgun sequence.
UCCCUGGUGGCUUAGAUGGUUAAGAAUCUGCCUGCAAUGCAGGAGACCUGGGUUCGAUCCCUGGAUUGGGAA